ACUGUGCAUUGUGGCACAUGCCUGUAAUCCCAGCAAUUUGGGAGGUUGAGGCAGGAGGAUCAUGAGUUCAGAGCCAAUCUUAGCAACUUAGCAAGGCCCUAAGCAACUCAGCAAUACCUUGUCUCUAAUAAAAUGUAAAAAAGAACUGGGGAUGUGGCUUAGUGGUUAGAGGUAGGGUCUCACUAAGUUGCUGAGGCUGGCUUUGAACCUGUGAUCCAGCCUCAA
rnacentral:sRNA from 1 species